ACCACACUGAGUUACAUUUGAUUUAGCCCUGAGUGACUUCUUUAGCCAAGAAAAGCUAGCUGUAGCAAUAUUACAUGGAAACAAGACAGGAUGAGCACUUACAGAAGGGAAGCUGUUCUGAUGAGGUUUCAUGGUGCCUGUGAACGGGUUCCGGCUCUUUCAUCUGGUCUUUCAUUACAGGGUAAACCGGGAGGGAGCCGAGCCCUGGUUUACAGCGAAUGAGCACUACAGGAAACAACAAGGCCUUUACCAGGAAACAGUCCCCAGACAGACGCCACUGACUGCACUGGAGCCUCUGAAUGCAGUAAAUCAUCACGGAUCUGUGUCAUCUAGACCUGGGAUUAGGGAUGAGUUAAUCAUCUUGGAAGUUGGAGUAAUAUGAUGAUUUGCCUGUGUCAUAGCAUUAGUUUUCAUCUACUGGCCAGGAUUCCACUGAGUAUAGCUCACUCAUCAUGCCAUGACGCAAGCAGGAAGCACCUUUGUAAUUACAGCCUGCAUGCGCCGUGUUCUAAAUACGUGUUUGCACAACAGGAGCGGAGUUUCUAAAAAAUGGAGAAGCAUUUAUGAAAAUAGUAUUUAGUAAAAAUGCCUUUCCACUUUCCUAGCCCAGAUGUGCUACACAGGGCCACACCCCAAAGCGUUCUUCAUGUUUAUUCAUCUAGAACUCUACAAUACAGGUUUAAAGGUAAUUCGAAGGUUCCUUAUGAAGCUAACAUGCGAAAUCCUGCGAAAUCUUUUUCUUUCUGUAUGAAAUGUUGUGCUGGUGAUGAUCCGCUAGGAGUAAACUAGAUAGAAAUAUAGGGGUGUAGGGUAGAUGGGGCGGUGGUAGCUCAAGUGUUUAAGGUGCUGGGUCGUUGCCUGGUUCAAGCCCCAAUACAGCCAAGCUGCCACUGUUGGGCUCUUAAGGCAACCUUCCCUGCUCCAGUGGCGCUGCAUCAUGGCUGACCUUGUGCAACCCCUAGGAUGGGAUAUGCAAAGAAAGAAUUUCACUGUGCAGUAAUGUAUAUGGGACAAAUAAAGACAACUUAAAUGAUGUUAAG